rnacentral:lncRNA from 1 species
GCGGUGUGCUCUAAAGAGCUAACGUUUAUCUUAACUGUUUCGAAUUCGGCUCAGUAGGAGAUCUCACUGAAGGAACAGGCAAACAGCGCAACUUCCCUUGAUAAG